rnacentral:misc_RNA from 1 species
AGCAGCCGCGGUAAUUCCAGCUCCAAUAGCGUAUAUUAAAGUUGUUGCAGUUAAAAGCUCGUAGUUGAAUUUCGGGAUCAAUUAAUCGGUCGUGCCUCUGGUACGCACUGGUUUUAUUGGUUUCUCCCUUCUGACGAACCAGGAUGUCAUUAAUUUGGUGUCUUGGAGAAUCAGGACUGUUACUUUGAAAAAUUGAGUGUUUAAAGCAGGCUAACGCUUGAAUACAUUAGCAUGGAAUAAUGAAAUAGGACGUUUGAUCCUAUUUUGUUGGUUUCUAGGAUCGACGUAAUGAUUAAUAGGGAUAGUUGGGGGCAUUAGUAUUCAAUUGUCAGAGGUGAAAUUCUUGGAUUUAUUGAAGACUAACUACUGCGAAAGCAUUUGCCAAGGAUGUUUUCAUUAAUCAAGAACGAAAGUUAGGGAUCGAAGACGAUCAGAUACCGUCGUAGUCUUAACCAUAAACUAUGCCGACUAGGGAUCGGAUGAUGUUAAUUUUUAUGACUCAUCGGCGCCUUACGGGUAA